AACUGGGAUUAGAUACCCCACUAUGUAUGGUCGUUAACAUCGAUGAUUCGGUACCCAAAUCAUCCGCCCGGGUAAUACGAGCAUUAGCUUAAAACCCAAAGGACUUGGCGGUGCUUUAGACCCCCCUAGAGGAGCCUGUUCUA
rnacentral:rRNA from 1 species